rnacentral:rRNA from 1 species
GAUGAACGCUGGCGGCGUGCCUAAUACAUGCAAGUCGAGCGAACGGACGAGAAGCUUGCUUCUCUGAUGUUAGCGGCGGACGGGUGAGUAACACGUGGAUAACCUACCUAUAAGACUGGGAUAACUUCGGGAAACCGGAGCUAAUACCGGAUAAUAUUUUGAACCGCAUGGUUCAAAAGUGAAAGACGGCCUUGCUGUCACUUAUAGAUGGAUCCGCGCUGCAUUAGCUAGUUGGUAAGGUAACGGCUUACCAAGGCAACGAUGCAUAGCCGACCUGAGAGGGUGAUCGGCCACACUGGAACUGGGACACGGUCCAGACUCCUACGGGAGGCAGCAGUAGGGAAUCUUGCGCAAUGGGCGAAAGCCUGACGGAGCAACGCCGCGUGAGUGAUGAAGGUCUUCGGAUCGUAAAACUCUUUUAUUAGGGAAGAACAGAUGUGUAAGUAACUGUGCACAUCUUGACGGUACCUAAUCAGAAAGCCACGGCUAACUACGUG